UGUUCAGGCUAGCAGAAUGGGGAGGGGGUUGUUCAGGCUAGCAGAAUGAGGAAGGGUUGUUCAGGCUAGCAGAAUGAGGAGGGGUUGUUCAGGCUAGCAGAAUGAGGGGGGGGGGGGGGGUUGUUCAGGCUAGCAGAAUGAGGAGGGGUUGUUCAGGCUAGCAGAAUGAGAAGGGGUUGUUCAGGCUAGCAGAAUGAGGAGGGGUUGUUCAGGCUAGCAGAAUGAGGAGGGGUUGUUCAGGCUAGCAGAAUGAGGAGAGGUUGUUCAGGCUAGCAGAAUGAGGAGAGGUUGUUCAGGCUAGCAGAAUGAGGAGGGGGUUGUUCAGGCUAGCAGAAUGAGGAGAGGUUGUUCAGGCUAGCAGAAUGAGGAGGAGGUUGUUCAGGCUAGCAGAAUGAGGAGGGGUUGUUCAGGCUAGCAGAAUGAGGAAGGGUUGUUCAGGCUAGCAGAAUGAGGAGAGGUUGUUCAGGCUAGCAGAAUGAGGAGAGGUUGUUCAGGCUAGCAGAAUGAGGAGGGGGUUGUUCAGGCUAGCAGAAUGAGGAGAGGUUGUUCAGGCUAGCAGAAGGAGGAGGGGUUGUUCAGGCUAGCAGAAUGAGGAGGUGUUGUUCAGGCUAACAGAAUGAGGAGGGGUUGUUCAGGCUAGCAGAAUGAGGAGAGGUUGUUCAGGCUAGCAGAAUGAGGAGAGGUUGUUCAGGCUAGCAGAAUGAGGAGAGGUUGUUCAGGCUAGCAGAAUGAGGAGGGGGUUGUUCAGGCUAGCAGAAUGAGGAGAGGUUGUUCAGGCUAGCAGAAGGAGGAGGGGUUGUUCAGGCUAGCAGAAUGAGGAGGUGUUGUUCAGGCUAGCAGAAUGAGGAGGGGUUGUUCAGGCUAGCAGAAUGAGGAGAGGUUGUUCAGGCUAGCAGAAUGAGGAGGGGUUGUUCAGGCUAGCAGAAUGAGGAGAGGUUGUUCAGGCUAGCAGAAUGAGGGGGGGGGGGGUUGUUCAGGCUAGCAGAAUGAGGAGAGGUUGUUCAGGCUAGCAGAAUGAGGAGGGGUUGUUCAGGCUAGCAGAAUGAGGAGGUGUUGUUCAGGCUAGCAGAAUGAGGAGAGGUUGUUCAGGCUAGCAGAAUGAGGAGGGGGUUGUUCAGGCUAGCAGAAUGAGGAGAGGUUGUUCAGGCUAGCAGAAUGAGGAGGGGUUGUUCAGGCUAGCAGAAUGAGGAGGGGUUGUUCAGGCUAGCAGAAUGGGGAGGGGGUUGUUCAGGCUAGCAGAAUGAGGAAGGGUUGUUCAGGCUAGCAGAAUGAGGAGGGGUUGUUCAGGCUAGCAGAAUGAGGGGGGGGGGGGGGUUGUUCAGGCUAGCAGAAUGAGGAGGGGUUGUUCAGGCUAGCAGAAUGAGAAGGGGUUGUUCAGGCUAGCAGAAUGAGGAGGGGUUGUUCAGGCUAGCAGAAUGAGGAGGGGUUGUUCAGGCUAGCAGAAUGAGGAGGGGUUGUUCAGGCUAGCAGAAUGAGGAGGGGUUGUUCAGGCUAGCAGAAUGAGGAGGGGUUGUUCAGGCUAGCAGAAUGAGGAGAGGUUGUUCAGGCUAGCAGAAUGAGGAGAGGUUGUUCAGGCUAGCAGAAUGAGGAGGGGGUUGUUCAGGCUAGCAGAAUGAGGAGAGGUUGUUCAGGCUAGCAGAAUGAGGAGAGGUUGUUCAGGCUAGCAGAAUGAGGAGGGGGUUGUUCAGGCUAGCAGAAUGAGGAGAGGUUGUUCAGGCUAGCAGAAGGAGGAGGGAUUGUUCAGGCUAGCAGAAUGAGGAGGUGUUGUUCAGGCUAGCAGAAUGAGGAGGGGUUGUUCAGGCUAGCAGAAUGAGGAGAGGUUGUUCAGGCUAGCAGAAUGAGGAGGGGUUGUUCAGGCUAGCAGAAUGAGGAGG